AUUGAACGCUGGCGGCAGGCCUAACACAUGCAAGUCGAGCGGAGCGGCGGACGGGUGAGUAAUGCCUAGGAAUCUGCCUGGUAGUGUGGGAUAAAGUCCGGAAACGGGCGCUAAUACCGCAUCCUAUCAGAUGAGCCUCGGUCGGAUUAUCUAGUUGGUGGGGUAAAGGCCUACCAAGGCGUCGAUCCUUAACCGGUCUGAGAGGAUGAUCCGUACCACUGGAACUGAGACACGGUCCAGACUCCUACGGGAGGAAGCAGUGGGGAAUAUUGGACAAUGGGCGAAAGCCUGAUCCAGCCAUGCCGAGUGUGUGAAGAAGGUCUUCGGAUUGUAAAGCACUUUAAGUUGAGAGGCGUUACCAACAGAAUAAGCACCGGCUAACUUCGUGCCAGCAGCCGCGGUAAUAC
rnacentral:rRNA from 1 species